rnacentral:Y_RNA from 1 species
UGCUGGUCCAAGUUCAGUGGUGUUUGCAACUAACUGACCACAACCGGUUACAGAUUCGUUUGUUCCUUCUCCACUCCCACUGCUUUCCUUGACUAGCCUAAA